rnacentral:rRNA from 1 species
GUAGUUAAAAAUCGUAACAAGGUUUUGGUUGGUGGCCGGGCGGAGG